rnacentral:lncRNA from 1 species
UCACAUUUAUUUUACUAAUCAAACAAGGCAUUUUGUUUUGAUUAGCUCCCACUAAUUUUAACAUAUCUUAUGCCCCCAACAUAAAAUACGGAUUUAUAAUCAAUAUAAAUCUUAGUGGUCCAAGAUCCAAGUCAAUAUUAUGCAGCCUCUGCUUUGCUGAUGACUACAAUAAUAUCACUUAGUAGGCCUCUAAGCCAAUUGCAACAACAAUUUUGCAACUCUUGGUUGAUUAAUCCAAUUAAUCUGCGUCCUUAAAUCAUUCUUGGUCGCUUUGCGUUCCAAAAUAAUUUAAGUAAGUCAACCCCA